AUGACGUCGGCCUCCGACGACACCGAGCGCUGGGAUGAGGCGGCGGAGCACGCCAAGAGGGUGAGAUCUGGGAGGGUGUGGGUGGAGAAGAACCCUAACACCUCCGGAUCUGAAGCUGCACUCGCAUUCAAGAAGAAGCAGAUACCAGAGAACACACAUCGGGCGAUCCCUACCAAUCAGGUGCCCCCUUCCAAGGCUUAUGAUGCAUGUCCUAUUUGCAAGGCUACUAGUCAUGCUCCUGCUAGUUGUCCGCAAGCUUUCUGUGAGAGAUGCAAUAAAUUGGGUCAUCUAGCCUCGGUUUGCGUUACAUUCCUGCCCUGGGAGUGCAUCGCUCCCCUGUGUGCCUUCCAGGCCAAAGGGCAGGGAUUCCUUUACAUUCCUGAUUCUUGCACUGCUAAACAACUCAAGGAGAGAUCUACUAGCGUCGUGAUUACUGUCAUAGAGGGGACUGCUAGUGUUAAGGAACUUGAGGAAGCGUUUUCUGACUACAUAGGGACCAAAUGGCACUGCACUGCCCGUAUCAUUGGCCCUGACACCUAUGUGAUGAGAUUUCCUAAUCAACGGGAUGUGAAUAAAGCAUGUUAUAACGAUAGGAUGAUCCUUAGAUCCUGUGGUGUAGUAGUUAAGAUCGUUCCUUGGUCGGCCAACAUUGGGGCUAAAGGGACUAUGGAGAUGGCAUGGGUGAAAGUUGCUAAUAUCCCUCUGGAAAGAAGAAAUGAGAGAAAUCUUGCUUAUGUUUCUUCCCUGGUGGGCGUCCCGCUCGAGAUCGACAUGGCCACCCUACACAAACCUGAAUUUGUCAGGGUUCGGCUGGGAUGUCGCAAUGUGGACGAGCUCCCUGGGGUUGCUGAGGCAGUGUUGGGCACACACUUCUUUGAUUUCUUCUAUGAAAUCGAGAAGGUGUUGGUUCGUGACCCUGAAAGAGAAAAAAGGGAUGUGCAGACAGAGGCAGAUGUUAACAAAUCCCCUUUUGUGAGAACUUCCACAUGGGGCAAGCAUGAUCCUAAGUCUGCACACAAAGGGAAUGAUGCUGGAUGCAGUAAGAAUGGUGAUGAUGGGGUUGGUGAUCCUGUCGAGGAAAAGGAGGAAGAAAGUGCGGAGUCUGAGGAGUCAGAAGAUAACACAUUGCUUAUUGAAACCAUGGCUGUGGAGGCUUACAACAAAGAAAAUGCGCGGGCCUCUCAGGCAAUGCUAGAUGUUGUUGACACCCAGCAUAAUGCUGAUGAGAUUCAGGUAGAAACAAUGCUGGCACAUGUUCACCUGUUGCUGUUAUGUCUCAUGAUGAUAUAG
rnacentral:rRNA from 1 species